AUUGAACGCUGGCGGCAGGCCUAACACAUGCAAGUCGAGCGGAUGAAGGGGGCUUGCUCCUGGAUUCAGCGGCGGACGGGUGAGUAAUGCCUAGGAAUCUGCCUGGUAGUGGGGGAUAACGUCCGGAAACGGGCGCUAAUACCGCAUACGUCCUGAGGGAGAAAGUGGGGGAUCUUCGGACCUCACGCUAUCAGAUGAGCCUAGGUCGGAUUAGCUAGUUGGUGGGGUAAAGGCCUACCAAGGCGACGAUCCGUAACUGGUCUGAGAGGAUGAUCAGUCACACUGGAACUGAGACACGGUCCAGACUCCUACGGGAGGCAGCGGUGGGGAAUAUUGGACAAAGGGCGAAAGCCUGAUCCAGCCAUGCCGCGUGUGUGAAGAAGGUCUUCGGAUUGUAAAGCACUUUAAGUUGGGAGGAAGGGCAGUAAGUUAAUACCUUGCUGUUUUGACGUUACCAACAGAAUAAGCACCGGCUAACUUCGUG
rnacentral:rRNA from 1 species